rnacentral:lncRNA from 1 species
GGUCGUGGCGUCUACAACAUGUCUCUGGGGAUAGGGAAGAAAGAAUGAUCUCUUCUCCAUCUUGUUGCGUGACAUGGGAUAAAGGUUGGGCUUUUAGUUUGUUUCUGGUAAUGUUGUCGACAAAGUAUAACUUGUUUGGACUUGUUUGCUUGUAUUUUUUUUUCUCGAAACCAGCCACAGUUUGAAUGAACGUUUCGAAUAAGAGUGAUGUUGGUGGGCUGUACUGCUACUUUACAAACUUAUUUCUGUCAAUAGUAGUGUUGUGAAACUUAUGUUGGGCCUUUUGUAUUAUUGGUCAAUUGUAUUCAAAUCUAGGUUUGCAAGUGAUUGGCUGCGUUUUCACCAAGAAGAUCAUAUAUUCAUUCAUACACCGUUUUGCUCGAAUGAACAUAUCUACCCGGAUGACGAGGCUAGGAGGUGUCUUCACAUGUUUCCUUAUCCACCCAGGCUACAACGCUACUAACUACGAUCAGGCUUUUUCUUUUCUUUUGUGUGUGUGUGUGUGUGUGUGUGUGUGUGUGUGG